GCGGGGGUUGAGAGAGAGUGGGUUUUGGAGGGGGUUGGCGGAGAUAGUGGACUUGAGGAAGGGUUUAGUGGGAGGGGAGAGAGCGGAAGAGAGGGAGAGGUGGGAGAGUGAGGAGAUUUGGGAGGGGAUUUUAACUUUGGCGGCAUGAGGGGUGAGAAGGGAAGAAAUUUGGGUAGGUGGGGUGAGGAAAUGGGAGGGGAGGACGGCGUUGAGAGAGAGGGAGAUGGUGGCUAUGGGUAAAUGAGGAGGUGCCGGUGGGAUUGAGGACGGGGCAAUGGCCAGGUGUGGUUGGUCUUCUCCGGGGUUUUCUGGGAUUUGGUUCUUUUGGCUAGAGUAAUCCAUUUUCUAGGAUUUCUUCUUCUAUCUAGAAUCUAUAAUCUAUGGGUGAGAAAAAAGGAGGGUCUGAGGUCUAAUAAACUCUUAAAGGAGGUGAAGUGAAGACUGAAGAUGAGGAAGAUAAUCUGACAAGACCCUCCUGGUUUCUUCCCGUCCCCUGGAGAAGGAUUUCGCAGCUAGAAUGGAUAUAUUU
rnacentral:lncRNA from 1 species